rnacentral:rRNA from 1 species
AUUGAACGCUGGCGGCAUGCCUUACACAUGCAAGUCGAACGGCAGCACGGGGGCAACCCUGGUGGCGAGUGGCGAACGGGUGAGUAAUGCAUCGGAACGUGCCCUGGAGUGGGGGAUAACGUAGCGAAAGUUACGCUAAUACCGCAUAUUCUGUGAGCAGCAAAGCAGGGGAUCUUAGGACCUUGCGCUUUGGGAGCGACCGAUGUCGGAUUAGCUAGUUGGUGAGGUAAAGGCUCACCAAGGCGACGAUCCGUAGCGGGUCUGAGAGGAUGAUCCGCCACACUGGGACUGAGACACGGCCCAGACUCCUACGGGUGGCUG